UCAGAAUGUAUUAACAUAAAUGAAUCACUGCUACGAAGUCCAACACUAGGGUAAGUAGAUCUGGUAUGCUUGGCAAGCUCACAUGCAUCACACACAAGAGUUCCUUUCUCCAUUCCCUUAAAGGAAUCAGGGUACAAUUUACUCAAGCUCUCAAAAGAUACAUGUCCUAAUCGAUGAUGUAGCAGCAUGAUUUCCCUUUUAUUUCCUUCUGUUGUUGCUGACAAAGCUUGCUCCUCUUGAUUGAUGAACCAUAGCCCAUUACGCUUGACUUCAGUCCCAAUCCUCUUCCCAGUUCUCUUCUCCUGAAAAACACAUGAUUGUUCAUCAAAUAUAGCUAGACACUUAAACUGAUCAAUGAUUGAGCUGACAGAAAGGAGAUUGACGGGGAAUGAUGGGACAUGCAAAACUAAUGAUAGACUAAUGGAUGGUGUAGACUCUAUAGACCCUACACCAGAAUGAGUUGGGAGGUACCAUCAGCAAUUUGGACAGUUUCAGGAUGAAUAGAAUGAGAGUAUGUUUUAAAAGAAUCAAUUAGUCCUGUGACAUGUCUAGAUGCUCCUGAAUCUAUUAUCCAAUCUCUAUGACUUCUACAUGAAGAUGCAAGGGCUUGUGCUUGAGUACCUACGCCCGAAUGGGCGUAGUUGGCAAAGUUACCGAAGUGCUGGGUGGAUGUAGUUGCCACAGAACCAAGAGGAGUGCUGGUUGGACACUCGGAUUCUUUGCCCUUAUGCCAUUCUUCCCACCGUUUAGCUUGUUCCCUAGUCAGGGUGAUUGAGGGGGUGUCUUCAGUAACCGCUACAUUGACAUGAGGGCCACCACGACCUCUGCCCCUGGCACGGCCACCACGCCCCCUUCCAUAACCUCCACGACCUCUUCCAUAGGUACUACAAGUGGCUCCACGAGUUCCACCACCUCGUUCACCACUGCCACGAGGAUGAGGACAAUUGUAGCUCAAGUGUCCCUUCUCACCACAAUUAUAGCAGUCUCUAUCAUCAUUUGCGGUGUAGGCUGAUUUCGCAGGAUCAUUAGAUGUCAUUACCCGGAGCCUGCUUUCCUCAUUAAUCAUUGCUGACACAGCUUCAUCCAUGGUAGGAAGACUUUCUUGGUGACAAAAGGCAUCUCUCCUGCUCUCAAACUCCGGGUCCAAAUUCUUUAGAAAGUGAGUUACUCUCCUGUCCUCUACCCACUUGUGGACAACCUGUGCAUCCUGAGGGCAAACCAUUUGCAGAGGAGCGUAGUGAUCUAGUUCUCUCCACAAGUACUGAAUUUCACUAGCAUAUUGUUCCACUGGUCUCCCUGUAUGUUUCACUGCAUCUGCCUUACUUCGGAUCUCCAUCAUCAUCAUCACAUUCUCCUUUCUCGAAUACAUAUUGUUCAAGGUCUUCCAAAUUUGUGCAACAGCACGCAUGGCUUCGACCAUCUUACUUACAGACGAAGACAUGGAUGCUAACAACCACGUCACAAUAACUGAGUUGGUGGUAUACCAAACCCUCUAUUCAGGGCUGAGCCUAUCAACAGGUUCAACACAGCCCUCUUCUAAAUAGUGCUCCACUCAUUUACCUUCUAAGAGCACUCGCACUCUCCUAGACCAACUCAAAUAAUUCUUGCUUCCUUCUAGCUUCACAUCAUUUGGAACGAGUUCUAAUUUUAAUUCAGAUGAGAUAGGCAAAGCCUUGGGGCCAAUCAUACCUAGUCCCAUGAGUUCCUGAACCAUACUCCUCAUCUCAUUUCUCAUCUCACUUUUUGUGAUUAGUGGAUCCUCUUCUUUCUUGUCACCAUGAAUCAUUGUCCUUUUUUCAGCCUCUUCCUCUAACCUUUUUGCUUCAGUCUCCUCUGAACUCAUCAUCAUCACUGCCUGCAAACACUAAGACGAACCAGGCUUCCUUCCCCUCUCUCAAUUAAUCUGCAGUACCUCCAACCUCACUAGUCGUAGCAACAGCCCGCUCUCUUUGUAAUCACCGCCCCCAGACCCAUCUGCUGGACUGCCGCUCGGUGGGGCAACACAUCUUGGACGGCGGAUCUCAAGAGGGCAAGGGAGCAAGCCUUCCUGUGAGACGUCGACCUGCUGCUGUCCCUCUUCUCCCGCGCCGCACAAGACUGGUGGCAGCAGCACGCGCCACGAUCCUCCUCGACCCUCCGGCCUCUCCCCUCCCUGCACCUGCAGAGAGCGCCGCAAGCUAGCUGCAGAGGAGCAAAACAGCAGGAGGAGGACGAAAGGAAGAAGAGAAGGCGAGCGGCUGAAUCCUCCCUCGAUCACCACACGCGCUCUGCCCUUCCCCGCCACCGAUCUGCCACCUCCGAGCUUGUCCGCCAACGCCGGAUCUGCCGGCCACGUGAUGCGGCUCAGGCGACGGACAGAGCCUACGGGCAGCGGCGGCGCCAAAACCUAGCUCUGGAUACCAUGUCGUUUUCUGGGUAAUUCUCGUGUGUUGCUCUCCAGCACACACACACUUUAUGUCUUUAUAUAUACACUUUGCACAAAGGACCCUUACAAAUGUUCUAAUUUCAACAACACGGAAUAGUUUUUCUUUUAUGUUUUUCUCUUUUCUUUUCAUGCUUUGUAUAUCUAUACUCUUACUUCCUUUAAUAAUGCAAUUUCAGUAGGGGCGCUUCCCCUCCUGGUGCAUGUAUAAAAAAGGUAUCCAUAGGUCAUGGAAACCCUUAUAAAGUAAGCUCACAUUGCAACCAACGCUUGUUGCAGUAUAUUCUGACAGGAUACAUUUCUGUGUAUAGUUCGAAGGAAGAGCAGUUUGCUGAAAAUUUUACUCCCAAUUAUACUGUGUGUGCUGCUACUCAUGCUUGGAGCCCUUGUCUGGACAUGUAAAAGCAGAG
rnacentral:lncRNA from 1 species